UACAGAGGUCUCAAGCGUUGUUCGGAAUUACUGGGCGUAAAGAGUGUGUAGGCGGUGCUCUAAGUUCGGUGUGAAAUCUCCUGGCUCAACUGGGAGGGUGCGCCGGAAACUGGAGUGCUUGAGCGUGGGAGAGGAAAGCGGAAUUCCUGGUGUAGCGGUGAAAUGCGUAGAUAUCGGGAGGAACACCUGUGGCGAAAGCGGCUCACUGGACCACAACUGACGCUGAGGCGCGAAAGCUAGGGGAGCAAACAGG
rnacentral:rRNA from 1 species